ensembl:lncRNA
GGCAGCCGCUCCGGCCCUGUCGAAGCUGCGUCUGCCUGGCUUGCGUAGCUGGCGCAGUCAAAAAGGAGCCGACAGCGAGCUGUUUUCCCUGACGGUCGCUGCGCAGUUUGUUCUGCCGUAACUGCCCAGCAACAUCUCGGGAAAACACACCUUUGGGAAAGGCGGUGGUCCUCGGCGCUGCUGCUGCUAGAAGAUGGCAGCUGUUCGGUGCUUUUGGGGUCCCGGCGGGGGAAGGCGUACGGGGAAGUGGGAGGCAGUGGGUGUCAUAGCCUUUCUGUGACUCGAAAGUCCUUUUUCUGCGUAAGAAGCUGCUUGAUGUUGAAGACUGGUGCUCUCCCCGGCAUCCUUCAAGCAUGGAAGGUGAUCGCAUGUAUGCAAGAUCAUGGGGUGGUAACGGCCCAGGCUGAGCAGCACAAACAGGGCUACGUGAUGAUUAGGAGCUCGUUCAACUGAUUGCCUGCCUGCUGGAUAGACCCACCAUGGCACUUGCAAGGAAUCACUUAGUGGAAAAAGCUGAGAGCUCAUGGACGUAAGGCCUUUAUCCCUUGCUUCAGUGAAGGGAAUCAGUUUGCUCUCCAAAAGGCGUAAAUCAUGUAUGGAGAAGCUAUGCAGCUCGACAUGUGAGUGUCCUUUGUGAGUAAGCGUGAGAAUUGUUUGGUUUUCAUAAGUGGCAUCUCAGCUGUCCUACGGAGUAUGAAGAACGCUAUAAACUGACUGUGAAGUGAGUUGUGCCUAUACUGUCAGCAGCUACUAAAAUUCUUUUCUUACCAGCCACUGGAAAUGGCUAAUCCUCAACUGGACUUUGCAGCCUGUUGGGGCUUUCCGGGUGGGAAUGAUAAAGGUCAGUAGUAAGGUUUGUAGUUUGGGAGCAUGGUGUCUCUUAAGUCAGAGUUUUGGUGAGAUCGGUCAUGCCACACCUGGUCAGUGAUGACUCUUUCUUUGGAGACUGCUGGAUGAAUCCUGCGGAUAUGGGGCUGAGGCCAGGCAGCAGCACAAACUCCCUAAAAUCACUGCAAAGUGCUGGGAGUGGGAGUGCCAGGGAAUUCCUUAACGCAGAUGAAAUCUGAAGCUAUGUCAUGUCAAACUGUUCUUCAUUCAGACUUUUUUCCCCACUCUUUAGGUCUAAAUGGAAUAUGGAGUUGAGAUGAGCCUGUCCCUGAAGGUUUCAGCCUCUGUCUUUUUUUUUUUUUUUUUUUGAUCCUCUCCUAAAGUGGUAAUUCUGCAUGAACAGAUCCUGGCUCCUUUGUAAGCUGUGAGCUCCCCCAGGUGGGGACAACUGCUUAGGUUCAGGAGUCAUUCAGUUUUACAGGUAGCAGGAGCUUGUUUGACUCUAGAUGUUGCUAAAGUUGCUAAAUACUCAGCAGGGAAGAAGUGUUCCUGCCAUAGAGUUUUAUCAGAGGAAGAAUUUGGGGGAGGGUCUGGACUUAAAACAUUUGGAGGGUGAAUAAAUGCAUUUGAAACUCUUGCUGUCUCUCUUGU